UACGUAGGGUCCGAGCGUUGUCCGGAAUUACUGGGCGUAAAGAGCUCGUAGGUGGUUUGUCGCGUUGUCCGUGAAAACUCACAGCUCAACUGUGGGCGUGCGGGCGAUACGGGCAGACUGGAGUACUGCAGGGGAGACUGGAAUUCCUGGUGUAGCGGUGGAAUGCGCAGAUAUCAGGAGGAACACCGGUGGCGAAGGCGGGUCUCUGGGCAAUUCCUGACGCUGAGGCGCGAAAGCGUGGGGAGCAAACGGG
rnacentral:rRNA from 1 species